rnacentral:rRNA from 1 species
GAUGAACGCUGGCGGCGUGCCUAAUACAUGCAAGUCGAACGCAUAGCGAAAGGUGCUUGCACCUUUCAAGUGAGUGGCGAACGGGUGAGUAACACGUGGACAACCUGCCUCAAGGCUGGGGAUAACAUUUGGAAACAGAUGCUAAUACCGAAUAAAACUUAGUGUCGCAUGACACAAAGUUAAAAGGCGCUUCGGCGUCACCUAGAGAUGGAUCCGCGGUGCAUUAGUUAGUUGGUGGGGUAAAGGCCUACCAAGACAAUGAUGCAUAGCCGAGUUGAGAGACUGAUGGCCACAUUGGGACUGAGACACGGCCCAAACUCCUACGGGAGGCUGCAGUAGGGAAUCUUCCACAAUGGGCGAAAGCCUGAUGGAGCAACGCCGCGUGUGUGAUGAAGGCUUUCGGGUCGUAAAGCACUGUUGUAUGGGAAGAACAGCUAGAAUAGGAAAUGAUUUUAGUUUGACGGUACCAUACCAGAAAGGGACGGCUAAAUACGUG